rfam:Glycine max cultivar Williams 82 chromosome 1, whole genome shotgun sequence.
AACCCAUGUUGAGGGCAUUCUUACAAGUAACCCUUGUAUCACUCCCACGCCUCAUAUAUUGACUCACCAUCUUCUUGUUGGAAGUUGGUGAUCUAGUUUCUUAACUC